rnacentral:lncRNA from 1 species
UUGGGUCAAUAUUACAUACAUCAAGCUUGGUUUAACAUUAAUAAGAACAUUUCAUAAAGAUCAUGUAUCAAAAGGGAUUAACCAUAACUCUAGGGUCAAGCACAAUACUAAUCCUCAAUACAAAUCUGCACAAUAUCUUACAUUAUAUUAUCUUUCAUGUCUACAACUAAACUAUUACAUACUUAAAUCUUUUACUCUUGCUGACUUCUUGGUCUAUCCCGUACCUGCAAACCUGGGGGUUAAGGGAAAGGGGUGAGCUACUAGAGCCUAGUGAGCAGAAUAGUAAAACAAUAUAUUAAAAUCUAUGCUUUCAUGAAAUGCAUCACAUCACAAACAAAUCACAUCAAGGAUGAACUUAUCACCAAUAGCCCUCUACAUAUCCAAUUGUGCUAGGGGCGUAGAAUGGGCCUCACUGGUCUUUCUCUUAACAUAACAUAACAUAACAUUCCAAUGUGCCAGGGGCGUAGAAUGGGCCUCACUGGUCUUUCUCUUACUCUAUGCCAGGGGCGUAGAAUGGGUCUCACUGGACUUUCGUACCGUAUCAUCAUCAUAGGAUUAAUGGGUCAUCCAACAUCCAUCCACAUCAACAUCAUAGUAUGCAAUGCAACAUAUUCAUGAAUUCUAAUGCAAACAACCUAGCAUAUAUCAUGGUAUUUGUGAUGCAUGAACAUGCUCAAAAUUUAUUUACUUUGGAACAUAAAGAUCUAUUCUACUCACCUCAGGCUGACUCUGAAGCAGCUAUCUCACUGUUGGGGUCCUCAGUUCCUCGGGUCCGAACCUACACAGGUGGACUCAAAUAAGGGACCAAACAAAUUCUAACAUGACUCUAAACAUCUCCCCAAAAACCCCCUAAAACAUCAUAAAAAAAUUAUAGAAAACAUGCAAAGGAAGGCUGAACAGGGCACUUUCGGCGGUAGGUUCGGCAGCCGAAAGUCCCUCUAGAGCCAAAAAUCAGGCACUUUCGGGGGCAAGGUUCGGCGGCCGAAAGUCUGUCCAGAGCCGAAAGUCACCAACCUUCGGCGGCAGGUUCGGCGGCCGAAAGUCCAAACUUUCGGGGGCAAGUUUAGACAGCCAAACCACCUCCAUAGGCAGGUUCGGCGGCCGAACAUGGUUUUGGCAGCCGAACCUGAGUUCUUCCAGAAUGGCAGAACUCAAGCCUCUCACACACAUUCAGCCAACCAAACCUCCCAACUCAAACCAACUCAAGCAAAAACAUGCAUAAACACAUUCUUAAGCAUUCAGGGGCUUAAAACUAGCCUAUACCCCAACCACAUUAACAUUUAGCAUACAUUUAAUCAUGCAUUUAACCUUAAACUACCAUAAACCCUAUCAUUUUACAUCUAGCCUAAUCAUGCAUCUUUACCCCAUAACCUUACAUAACACUUGCUUAAAACAUCAAAAACGGUGAGGAUCCACGCUUACCUCUUGAAGAUCGAGAGAAGGCGCGAUCCAACUUGGAGAUUUGGGGAAAACGAGUUCCGGAGGUCUCCAAACUUCACAACUUCGAUUUUGAGCUUAAAAACUUCAAAACAAGAUGAAAGCUUGUUAAAAGCUUGAAAGAUUUGAAGGAAAACAUCAAAACUAACCAUAGAAGGGUAUGGACUCACCUUUGCCCGAAAAUGGAGAAGAAAACUCGCCGAUUUUCGGACAUGAGGCCUUUUAUAGGUGGCUGGCCAGACCACCUUCGGGGGCCAAAGGUGCUCCCUAAACUUCACCAUGUUCGGCGGGCCAAACAUGAGGUUCGGCGGCCGAACCUGGCUUUCCUUAGUGCUUUUCUUUCAAAAAACUCAAUUUUUUUCUUACUUAAAACCUUAAAACACAUGAAAACCUUUUAGAAAAAUAUAUUUUACCCUUCUAGAGAGUUUCGACAUCCGAGAUUCCGCCGGAAAGUAGGAAUUCCGAUGCCGGGGUCUAGCCGGGUAUUACACUUUGCAUAAGAGAAAAGAGAAUUUAUACAUGUUCACAUGGAAUCAAAAGAAUAUUACUAUUUUGCCUUCUGGUUCUGCAAAAUAUUCUAAAGUGGAAGGGAAAGAAUAUUAUUGUUGUUUUCACGGGAGUGCAAAGGCUAUCAGGUGCAGUUGAUUUUCCAGGUAAAGUGUCGAGUAGGAAAAACAAUUUGCAGGCUAAUUAUAGAUAGUUGCAGUUGUGAGAAUCUGAUAGCUAAGCAAUUGGUGGAGAAAUUGCAGUUGCCUACAUAGUCACCCCCUUCGCCAUACGAAGUCGAAUGGAUUAAAGAAGAUCCGACAAUUGAAGUCAAUAGAAUUUACAACGUGUCUAUCUCGAUCUGUAAAUCUUACACUGAACCUGUUAAUUGUGAUGUUGUGGAUAUGAAUUGUUGUGGAAUCUUGCUAGGUCACCCUUGGCAGUACGAUGUUGAUGCUUUGCUUAAGGGAAAAGAAAAUUUAUACAUGUUCAUAUGGAAUCGAAAGAAGAUUACUAUUUUACCUUCUAGUUCUGCGAAACAUUCUAAAGUAGAUGGGAAAGAAUACUAUUGUUGUUUUCACGAGAGUGCAAAGGCUAUCAGGUGCAAUUGAUUUUCCAGGCAAAGUAUCGAGUAGGAAAAACAAUUUACAGGCUAAUUAUAGAUAGUUGCAGUUUUGAGAAUCUAAUAGCUAAGUAAUUGGUGGAGAAAUUGCAGUUGCCUACACAGUCGCUCCCUUCGCCAUACGAAGUCGGAUGAAUUAAAAAAGGUCUGACAAUUGAAGUCAACAGAAUUUACAGCGUAUCUAUCUCGAUCGAUAAAUCUUAUACUAAACCCGUUAAUUAUGAUGUUGUGGAUAUGAAUUGUUGUAGAAUAUUACUAGGUCACCCUUGGCAAUACAAUGUUCAUACUUUGCAUAAGGGCAAAGAAAAUUUAUAUAUGUUCACAUAGAAUCGAAAGAAUUUUACUAUUUUGCUUUCUAGUUCUACGAAACAUUGUAAAGUAGAAGGGAAAGAAUAUUGUUGCUGUUUUUACGAGAGUGCAAAGGCUAUCAUACUGGAGUCAUACUGACUUUAUUAGCGCAACGGUGGAUGCACCCACUUUACACACGUUAUUGAGGUUAAGUGGCAUCCGGGUGGGCUUUCGCCAGAGUGCCGUUAGUUUUAUGAGCACCUGUAGUGGAUCUGGGAGGCCGGCAACGCCUGCGCGCGGGUAACUCAACCCGGCGGAGCCAACUCAGAAACUGCUGGUAUUAGUUAACGCCUGACCUUGGCGGCAGAGGUACCCAGCGAGCCCCUACAGUGAGGGAAGGGAGUAGGCAGGCCCGGCAGAGAGUUUGUGAGUUUAGCGACAAAGGGAUCCUUCACGCGGGUAUCACCCCUUUUUCGCAAUGUGGAGCGCCGCACAACUAGUGCGCUAAGCCCAGACGCGCAGAGGCCCCAGGAGUUAGCUGGGGACUAAGCGGCCCGCCCCAGUGUGGCGUCAACCCACGCACCCACUACCAGACCCUUGAAAAUGGGGUUUUGCCGAGGACUUCUGCGCUUGCGCGGCUACCCGCCCAUUAACAGGUGCCACAAAAUGCCCUCUUGCAGACAUUUUGCAAGUGGGAUGAAGAUGAAAUAGAUAAAAGAAAUUAGAAAGAAACAUUUAAAUAUGAAAUGUACUACCAGAAAUAGCUACACGCUGUACUAUAAGGCUAGAUUCCACCCAAAGCACAUUACUCAGUAAUUAAUUAGCAUAAGUGGAUAGACAAUUUUUGGAAAUGCAUAAUUUGCUUCCUCGCUUUUCAUGGAAAAUUAUUUUACCCCUCAACUUUUAUUUUAUUCUAUUUAUAUUUUUAAUUUUUAAAUUUUAAAUAAUUUAAUAUUUAUAAUAUGAUAAAACAUGAAUAAUAUAUGUCACUUUAAAAAUUAAGUUAUUUUACUAUGUGAUGUCACUUUAAAAAUUAAGUUAUUUUACUAUGUGAAAGUUGAGGGAAUAAAUAGAAUAAAAUUAAAAUUGAAAUGAUAAAAUGAAUUUUUAAGGUGUCAAUUUUUUUUUUUAAAUUCUAAUAAAGUUACCAUAUUUUCUCGGAAAUAUAUUUUGCUAGGCAUAAUUUUCAUGAUGAAAAGUAAUGAUUCGAAGCAUGAAAAUAAAGACCUAUAAACAAAACAAAGAACCAUCAUAUGCAUCUAGAGUUGAUAGGCUAAUGAUAGUAUGUAGGAGUAAAUGUAAUGCAGAAGGAAGAUUAAAAAAAAAACAUAUAUUUUUGUAAUCAAUUUUCUGAAGUUUUGCGAAAAAAAAAAAAGAAAAAAAAAUCAAAUUUCAGAAAAGGUACUGCUAACCCUAAAAGGAUUCUUGAAACACAAAUUAAAUUUGGUUGUUGACUCAAUUUCUUUGAGUGUGCAAGUAUAUAUGAAGAGAGAGAUCAUCAUAUAAUUUUUCUAACAUUCUUAACCUAUCGCAUUUCAUAGAAGGAGACAAAGAAGAAAAGUAACCAGCAAAUGAACUGUGAUCAUCACAUGAAUGAUCAAGCAAAAUAGGGAAGAAAGAGAAGCAGAAGAAGAAGAAGACAGACUUAAUUUACAGGACUAGAGUAAAAGAAUUUUUUUUUCUUUUUCUUUUUGAUAAGAACGAGUUGGAAAAGAAAGAAUUCAGAAAUCAAAGGAACUAAUUCAGUAAUAUAUGAUUUUCUAUGUAAGUUUCCUCAGCUAGGACAAACCAUUUUUUAUGAAGAAGAAGAUGAUGAUGAUCCGUCGAUCGUCGUCGUUCAGGGCUGUGGACAAAAGUGGCCAGACCGAUCCAGGCAAGUUCCUUAGACUUGGAAGAUUGAUGUGGAAAAUGUUUUCUCAGUUGGGUUCUUGGGAUGUUUAAUUUUUGAAUCAUUGAACUAAGGAAUCAAAGUUUU